CAGCCGCCGCGGUAAUACGAAGGGUGCAAGCGUUAAUCGGAAUUACUGGGCGUAAAGCGCGCGUAGGUGGUUUGGUAAGAUGGAUGUGAAAUCCCCGGGCUCAACCUGGGAACUGCAUCCAUAACUGCCUGACUAGAGUACGGUAGAGGGUGGUGGAAUUUCCUGUGUAGCGGUGAAAUGCGUAGAUAUAGGAAGGAACACCAGUGGCGAAGGCGACCACCUGGACUGAUACUGACACUGAGGUGCGAAAGCGUGGGGAGCAAACAGGAUUAGAUACCCCCGGUAGUCCCUGUCUCUUAUA
rnacentral:rRNA from 1 species